rnacentral:tRNA from 1 species
AGGAGUGUAGCUCAGUGGUAUAGCACUUGCCUAACAUGCAUGAGACCCUGGGUUCAAUCUCUAGUACCACAA